rfam:Terribacillus aidingensis strain MP602, complete genome.
AGGACCUUUAAUGGAAGUCCAGAGAGGCUUACAAGGUCGCAAGCUACGUCGUCACGGAAGUGGCAGACGUGUGCCUCUUUGCGACCAUAAUCGCGAAGAGGCUUUUUUU